rnacentral:lncRNA from 1 species
UGGACUAGACGGAGACAGCUUUGGACUGGUCGGCGAAUAUGCAAGGGAGGGGCUGUAUCUCGCCGAGGGAUUGUAACUUGGUGAUGUAGGACUAUAUGAUGGUGAUGUUGGGCUGUAACUGGGAGAUGUUGGGCUGUAACCAGGGGAGGUAGGACUGUAUGCAGGAGAAGUGGGACUAUAUGAUGGAGAAGUUGGACUAUAACUUGGUGAGGUGGGGCUAUAUGAAGGCGAGGUGGGGCUGUAAGAAGGUGAGGUGGGGCUGUAUGAAGGUGAAGUGGGGCUGUAAGAUGGAGAAGUGGGGCUGUAAGAUGGAGAAGUGGGGCUGUAGGCAGGCGAAGUGGGGCUGUAGGCAGGCGAAGUGGGACUGUAGGCAGGCGAAGUGGGGCUGUAGCUAGGCGAUGUUGGGCUAUAACUAGGAGAUGUAGGGCUAUAGCUCGGAGAUGUUGGACUAUAACUAGGUGAUGUGGGAGAGUACGAUGGACUGGUUGGGGAAUAUGCUGGACUUGUCGGAC